CACGUAGGGGGCGAGCGUUGUCCGGAUUUAUUGGGCGUAAAGAGCUCGUAGGCGGUUUCGUAAGUCGGAUGUGAAAACUCCAGGCUCAACUUGGAGACGCCAUUCGAUACUGCGAUGACUUGAGUCCGGUAGGGGAGUGUGGAAUUCCUGGUGUAGCGGUGAAAUGCGCAGAUAUCAGGAGGAACACCAGUGGCGAAGGCGGUGCUCUGGGCCGGAACUGACGCUGAGGAGCGAAAGCGUGGGGAGCAAACAGG
rnacentral:rRNA from 1 species